GCCUUCCACUCAAAUUCAUUCACUGCUCCAACUGAGGCAAAUGCUGUUCCAAGGUAUUUUCACAUUUUGUUAUUUUUAUGUUAAUGAGCCUAAGAUGUUUGAUGAAAUGUCUGAAUGGUUGUGGUUUAAGUUUUAUAUGUGCUUAACAUUUCUUAUGUUAAAUAAGAUCCUAAAAAUUUGAGAUUGUGAUUAAUUAUAGAAGUUUUUGUUUCAGUAUCUCUAUGUUAUUGGGUCUUGACACUUUGAUUUCAUUUUGAAAGCUUAUUAUUAGAUUGUUAGCAUCUUAGGUAUAUGGCUCUAGAUCAUAAUAUGAUAAGAAGAUUGUUAGUAUAUGACAUGUAUACUUUUGUUUCAUUAUCUAAAUUUUUUAUAUAGGAUCGAUGUUACAAAAAUGAUAUGCAAUAAUCAUUAUUUAUGUUCAAUUGUUUGUUGGCACACCUCUAAUUUGAUAUGCAGAAGGCAAAAUGUAUAAAAAGCAUUAGUCUACGAAUUAUUGAUUAUUUUGUAAUUAGACCAAUUUCUAAUCAUAUUUUGUUUGUAUAUAUUGAGCAUUUCAUUUCGAAAUUUGGUGUUUUUGGACUUCAGAAUUAUUGUCUAUAUUGUGUUUAUCUUUAUAAAGAUUAAUUUCUAAUUUUUAUGUUACCAUUAAUAAAACCUUUUGCAGUAUGGAUGAAUAGAAGAAUAAAAGAAUAAUGGGUUUUCUGUUUAGGGUAAGAAAAUGUUUUCCUUUCAAAUUCAUUCGCUGCUCCAACUGUGACAAAUGUUGCCCCAAGGUAUUUUCUCAUUUUGUCAUUUUAUGUUAAUGAUCCUAAAGUGUUUGACGAAAUGUCUGAAUGAUUGUGGUUUAAAUUUUAUGUGCGUUUAACGUUUUUUUAUGUUAAAUAAGAUCCUAAAAAUUUAAGAUUGUGAUUAAGUGGACAAGUCUUUGUUUGAGUAUCUCUAUGUUGUUGGGUGUUGACACUUUGAUUUCAUUUUAAAACCUUAUAUUAGAUUGUUAGCAUCUUAGGAAUAUGACUCUAUGUCACAAUAUGAUAAGAAGAUUGUAUAUAUUGAGCAUUUUAUUUUGAGAUUUGGUGUUUUUGGAUAUGGUUGGACUUCAGAAUUAUUGUUAUUUUAUGUUUAUCUUUAUCUAGAUUAGUUCCAAAUGGAGGUAAUGUAAGACUUUGUUGACAUUUUUCGGAACCUGAUUCAGAAAAUUGGGAAAUUUCUAAAUGCUGGGGACAUUACAUUUCAUGAUCAAUGUUGAACAUUGAGUGAAAACAAAUAAUGAGUUAUCUCUCCAUUUCCAAUAUGAACCUUCUUCUUCAUUUUUUAUCUUCCUCAAAUUUUUAUGCUUCAUCAUUUCUUCUUGAUCCAUGGAUUCUAGAUUGUGAGGUAUGAUUUCUG
rnacentral:lncRNA from 1 species